rnacentral:rRNA from 1 species
AUUGAACGCUGGCGGCAUGCCUUACACAUGCAAGUCGAACGGCAGCACGGGAGCAAUCCUGGUGGCGAGUGGCGAACGGGUGAGUAAUAUAUCGGAACGUGCCCGGUCGUGGGGGAUAACGUAGCGAAAGCUACGCUAAUACCGCAUACGAUCUACGGAUGAAAGCGGGGGAUCGCAAGACCUCGCGCGAUUGGAGCGGCCGAUAUCAGAUUAGGUAGUUGGUGAGGUAAAGGCUCACCAAGCCGACGAUCUGUAGCUGGUCUGAGAGGACGACCAGCCACACUGGGACUGAGACACGGCCCAGACUCCUACGGGAGGCAGCAGUGGGGAAUUUUGGACAAUGGGCGGCAAGCCUGAUCCAGCAAUGCCGCGUGCAGGAUGAAGGGCCUUCGGGUU